rnacentral:tRNA from 1 species
UCCCUGGUGGCUCAGAGGUUAAAGCGUCUGCCUCUGAUGCGAGAAACCCAGGUUCGAUCCCUGGGUCGGGAA